rnacentral:rRNA from 1 species
GAUGAACGCUAGCGGCAGGCCUAAUACAUGCAAGUCGAACGGUGUCUUCGGACAUAGUGGCGCACGGGUGACUAACACGUAUGAAACCUACCUUACAUUGGGGGAUAGCCGUCCGCAAGGGAGAUAAAUACCGCCUAAGACAGCAACCAGGCAGCUAGUAGCCGUUAAAGACUUAUCGAUGUAAGCUGGGCAUGCGUCCAAUUAGCUAGUUGGUGAGGUAACGACUCACCCAUGAAAUGAUUGGUAGGGGAACUGAGAGGUCAAUCCCCCACACGGGCACUGAGAUACGGGCCAGACUCCUACGGGAGGCAGCAGGAGGGAAUAUUGGGCAAUGGACGCAAGUCUGACCCAGCCAUGCCGCGUGCAGGAUGAAGGCGUUAUGCGUUGUAAACUGCUUUUAUACAGGAAGAAACGACUCUUGGGAGAGGCAUUGACGGUACUGUAUGAAUAAGCACCGGCUAACUCCGUGCCAGCCGCCGCCGUAACAC